rnacentral:lncRNA from 1 species
CACAUUGAAAGUUGAUAACCGGGUGAGGAGAUUGGUGCCGGUGUCUGCGAUUGGUGCGCUUUCCCUUGCUUAGCUUGCGGUGGCUGGUCUAACACGGUGGCGGCGCUGGAACGGACAG